CUCAGCCCUUAACAUAGACAGUAAACACACAAUACUGUCCGCCAGAGAACUACAAGUGAAAAACUAGAAACUCCAAGGACUUGGCGGUGCUCCAUACCGACCUAGAGGAGCCUGUCCUAUAAUCGAUAAUCCACGUUUCACCUUACCGCCCUUUGCAAAUCAGCCUAUAUACUGCCGUCGUCAGCUUACCUUAUGAAAGAAACAAAGUAAGCAAAACAGUUAAUAACUAAAACGUCAGGUCAAUGUGUAGCAUAUGGGACGGAAGAGAUGGGCUACACUUUCUACCAUAGAAGAUACGAACAGUACAAUGAAACCUGUACUUAAAGGUGGAUUUAGUAGUAAGACAAAAAAGAAACUUUGCCUGAAACCCGCUCUGGAGCGCGCACACACCGCC
rnacentral:rRNA from 1 species